GAGCGUUGUUCGGGAAUUAUUGGGCGUAAAGCGCGUGUAGGCGGUUUGAUAAGUCUGAAGUGAAAUCCUAUAGCUUAACUAUAGAACUGCUUUGAAAACUGUUAAUCUAGAAUGUGGGAGAGGUAGAUGGAAUUUCUGGUGUAGGGGUAAAAUCCGUAGAGAUCAGAAGGAAUACCGAUUGCGAAGGCGAUCUACUGGAACAUUAUUGACGCUGAGAUGCGAAAGCGUGGGGAGCAAACAGGAUUAGAUACCCUGGUAGUCCACGCCCUAAACGAUGUACACUAGUUGUUGUGAGGCUAGACCUUGCAGUAAUGCAGUUAACACAUUAAGUGUACCGCCUGGGGAGUACGGUCGCAAGAUUAAAACUCAAAGGAAUAGACGGGGACCCGCACAAGCGGUGGAGCAUGUGGUUUAAUUCGACGAUACACGAAGAACCUUACCUGGACUUGACAUAGUAAGAACUUUCUAGAGAUAGAUUGGUGUCUGCUUGCAGAAACUUAUAUACAGGUGCUGCACGGCUGUCGUCAGCUCGUGUCGUGAGAUGUUGGGUUAAGUCCCGCAACGAGCGCAACCCUAAUC
rnacentral:rRNA from 1 species